GGCCGAGUAGCAAAGUGGUUAUGCUCCGGAUUGCAAAUCCGUCUACGCCGGUUCGAUUCCGACCUCGGCCUCCA
rnacentral:tRNA from 282 species